rnacentral:lncRNA from 1 species
ACAAUAUCAUUGAAAACUCUUUUCAAUGGGUUGGAACGAUUCCAACUCAACUCAUUAGGGUUUAUCGAUCAUCAAGAUAAUCCCUAUGAGUCCCACCAUCCACCAGUGAUACCUAGCAGCAUGUAGUGGCUACCCAGUAGAAUAGAAAGAUGAACCUCUAGGUACAGUUAACAUGUGAUACAGUCCUACUAUCGUGGAUCCCUACAGGACGGAGGUCACGGACAACUCGUCAAACCCCAUCGUCUGUCAUAUGUCAAGAUUUAUUCGACUUGAGUUCGAUAGUGGAAAACUCUUUUUUCACUUUAUAUUACUGCCCCGGCCAAGGUCUUAGAACUCAGUCUAACAAAUCACAUAGGAUCACUCCUCUUCUAUCAAGGUCGAUAGAUUCC